rnacentral:rRNA from 1 species
GACGAACGCUGGCGGCGUGCUUAACACAUGCAAGUCGAACGAUGAAGCUGGAGCUUGCUCUGGUGGAUUAGUGGCGAACGGGUGAGUAACACGUGAGUAACCUGCCCUGGACUCUGGGAUAACCCCGAGAAAUCGGAGCUAAUACCGGAUAGGACCUUGCACCGCAUGGUGUGGGGUGGAAAGUUUUUCGGUCUGGGAUGGACUCGCGGCCUAUCAGCUUGUUGGUGAGGUAAUGGCUCACCAAGGCGUCGACGGGUAGCCGGCCUGAGAGGGGGCCGGGCCACACUGGGACUGAGACACGGCCCAGACUCCUACGGGAGGCAGCAGUGGGGAAUAUUGGACAAUGGGCGCAAGGCUGAUGCAGCAACGCCGCGUGCGGGAUGACGGCCUUCGGGUUGUAAACCGCUUUUAGUAAGGAAGAAGGGGCUUCGGCCUUGACGGUACUUGCAGAAAAAGGACCGGCUAACUACGUGCCAGCAGCCGCCGUAAAAC